CUCUAAACAAUCAGACAAUCAAACAAAACCUAAAUACAGAUGAAAGCAGAUCUGAAUGGCACUAUGGCAACCUUCUUUGUAAAUAAUUUCUCAUCAGUUAAUAUGAACACAUUAAUACUUACAAUGAAUGUGUCAUUAAACGAUGCAAAAAUAUGAGCAACACCAAAAACAUGCUCCCCAUCACGGACAGCAGGACCGAGUGUCACAUUUUCCUCCUUUGGCUCCCUGACCUUCC